UACGGGGGGGGCAAGCGUUGUUCGGAAUUACUGGGCGUAAAGGGCUCGUAGGCGGCCAACUAAGUCAGACGUGAAAUCCCCAGGCUCAACCUGGGAACUGCGUCUGAUACUGGAUGGCUUGAAUUCGGGAGAGGGAUGCAGAAUUCCAGGUGUAGCGGUGAAAUGCGUAGAUAUCGAGAGGAACACCUGCGGCGAAGGCGGGUUGCUGGGCUGACACUGACGCUGAUGCGCGAAAGCCAGGGGAGCGAACGGG
rnacentral:rRNA from 1 species